rnacentral:rRNA from 1 species
AGGAAUAUUGGUCAAUGGACGAGAGUCUGAACCAGCCAAGUAGCGUGAAGGAUGACUGCCCUAUGGGUUGUAAACUUCUUUUAUACGGGAAUAAAGUGAGGUACGUGUGCCUUUUUGUAUGUACCGUAUGAAUAAGGAUCGGCUAACUCCGUGCCAGCAGCCGCGGUAAUACGGAGGAUCCGAGCGUUAUCCGGAUUUAUUGGGUUUAAAGGGAGCGUAGGCGGACGCUUAAGUCAGUUGUGAAAGUUUGCGGCUCAACCGUAAAAUUGCAGUUGAUACUGGGUGUCUUGAGUACAGUAGAGGCAGGCGGAAUUCGUGGUGUAGCGGUGAAAUGCUUAGAUAUCACGAAGAACUCCGAUUGCGAAGGCAGCCUGCUGGACUGUAACUGACGCUGAUGCUCGAAAGUGUGGGUAUCAAACAGGAUUAGAUACCCUGGUAGUCCACACAGUAAACGAUGAAUACUCGCUGUUUGCGAUAUACAGUAAGCGGCCAAGCGAAAGCGUUAAGUAUUCCACCUGGGGAGUACGCCGGCAACGGUGAAACUCAAAGGAAUUGACGGGGGCCCGCACAAGCGGAGGAACAUGUGGUUUAAUUCGAUGAUACGCGAGGAACCUUACCCGGGCUUGAAUUGCAACUGAAUGAUGUGGAGACAUGUCGGCCGCAAGGCAGUUGUGAAGGUGCUGCAUGGUUGUCGUCAGCUCGUGCCGUGAGGUGUCGGCUUAAGUGCCAUAACGAGCGCAACCCUUAUCGAUAGUUACCAUCAGGUUAUGCUGGGGACUCUGUCGAGACUGCCGUCGUAAGAUGUGAGGAAGGUGGGGAUGACGUCAAAUCAGCACGGCCCUUACGUCCGGGGCUACACACGUGUUACAAUGGGGGGUACAGAAGGCAGCUACACGGCGACGUGAUGCUAAUCCCGAAAGCCUCUCUCAGUUCGGAUGGGAGUCUGCAACCCGACUCCAUGAAGCUGGAUUCGCUAGUAAUCGCGCAUCAGCCACAGCGCGGUGAAUACGUUCCCG